rnacentral:rRNA from 1 species
UACAGAGGGUGCAAGCGUUGUUCGGAAUUAUUGGGCGUAAAGGGAGUGUAGGCGGCUCUUUAAGUCUUCUGUGAAAUCUACGGGCUUAACCUGUAACGUGCAGAGGAUACUGAGGAGCUUGAGUGUCGGAGAGGAUAGUGGAAUUCCCCGGUGUAGAGGUGAAAAUUCGUAGAGAUCGGGAGGAACACCAGUGGCGAAGGCGACUGUCUGGCUGACAACUGACGCUGAGACUCGAAAGCAUGGGGAGCAAACAGG